AACGUAGGACGCAAGCGUUAUCCGGAGUUACUGGGCGUAAAGGGCAGGCAGGCGGGUCGAUAAGUCGGAUGUGAAAUCUCCCUGGCUUAACCGGGAGAGUGCAUUUGAGACUGUCAACCUGGAGGGCAGCAGAGGAGCGUGGAAUUCCGGGUGGAGUGGUGAAAUGCGUAGAUAUCUGGAGGAACACCGGUGGCGAAGGCGGCAUCCUGGACCGGUAUUGACGCUGAGGCGCGAAAGCCAGGGGAGCAAACGGG
rnacentral:rRNA from 1 species